UUUCACUGAUGCUAUGACAGAGUGGUAAGUCAGCCCGUUAUCAGACGGGGGGUUUCACUGAUGCUAUGACAGAGUGGUAAGUCAGCCCGUUAUCAGACGGGGGGUUUCACUGAUGCCAUGACAGAGUGGUAACUCGGCCGGUUAUCAGACAGGGUGUUUUACUGAUGUCACGACAGAGUGGUAACUCAGCCGGUUAUCAGACAGGGUGUUUUACUGAUGUCACGACAGAGUGGUAACUCGGUCCGUUAUUAGAUUGAGCCUGACCCUCAUACACAACAAUUUUCCAUGUGUAUCCAGUGGCAGAACUGGCCAGUGCGAAUACCCCCAUUUAAAUGGCUUGUCCUUCAUUUACUCUUCCAUUUCUAUACAAGGCUUGGUGUCCUCCAUCUGUUUGUCCACUGCCGGAUUUCUCUCUGGUUGAAUGGUACAAGCUAAAGUGUUGACCCCAUACAGGGGCUUGAUCGUCCAGACCCAGGUGUACUGAGAAAUUCUGUUUUUGUGUGUGUUCUCCUCAUCCAGGUCUAAGUUGGAACGAUGAAUAUCCCACAAUAUUACAGAAAAUCUUGGGAUAUCAGUGAGUUCGGAAAGAGAAUCCAAGCUUGAAAUGGGUACAGGCAUAGUCAACCAAGUUGCUUCAAAUCACUUUAUGUCGCAUUCAUUCUGUCUGGCUCUGAUUGGUCUACAGCUUUGGGCCAAUGAAAAGCACUGAAACUGCUUUGUAAGACACUUUGUGACGGAAUAAUUACUGCAGAUGGAGAGGCUUUACUGAGGGAAAGUCACUGGGGGGUCACUUUUGUGGCAGUGAACACAAAUGCUUAUAUCUCAGGGACAGAACAUUGUAAAAGAAGAAAAUUUUAAAAUUGCUUUACUCCAAAAACUCAGUUCUAAAAUUAGUAUUAACCAAAACAUUCUUUUUCCGAAACAUUAGCCGGCCGUAUUACAAAGCAUUGCUAAUUAAUAUUUGUAACUAAUUAUUUGCUGCAUUUUGGCUGUGUUCCAAUGGAUCACAGCACCAUACUCUGGAGAAUGGACACCACAUUUCAAUGGUUCAUUGCAACACAAUGAAUUUGCACCACAACAAUUAAUUCAGGGCAGUGCAGCACUUUUAAACAUUUCCAUCCCGCACCUCAUUGUGACAGCUCGUUGUUCUCAUUUCAGUACUCUUUUUUUAUUAUUUUUUUUUAUUUUUAAAUUUGCUCUGUUCUAUGAAUUUAACCAGCUUUCCCCAGUUCUACUCUCCAAUCAGCAAGUGCUAAAAUCAAACAAAACAUCAAACGCUGGAAGUAACAUGCAACUGAAGUUUACAGUGCACUCACCCCUCUCACAGAGCAACAUCAAAGGUUCACAGUUUUAGACCAGCGGUUCUGUGGUACUGGGGCAAGAACCAGUUUCUUUGGCAUUGCACCAGAUAGUCAGCAGUGGAAAAGUGCGGAAGCAGUUACAAUUUAGGUACCAGCAUUGGUUCCGUUUUGGUUGAAAGGGGCUCCCACGUAGCGGCUGAUUCUGGGCCAAAUCCACCUGCAUCUGCUUCAAUCUGGGUGCCAGUGACAUUCAGGUAGGAGAGUCUGCACCUGAAUCUGUCCAGAGUUCUAACUGAUUACAGUAGGUCUGUAUACACUCUGAAGAUCUGGUGUGCAUCCACCUGACUAUAUGCGUAUGAUCAGUCACUUACCAGAUCCGGCACACAUCCGCCUGACCAUAUGCGUAUGAUCAGUAACUUACCAGAUCCGGCACACAUCCGCCUGACCAUAUGCGUAUGAUUAGUAACUUACCAGAUCCGGCACACAUCCGCCUGACCAUAUGCGUAUGAUCAGUAACUUACCAGAUCCGGCACACAUCCGCCUGACCAUAUGCGUAUGAUCAGUAACUUACCAGAUCCGGCACACAUCCGCCUGACCAUAUGCCUAUGAUCAGUAACUUACCAGAUCCGGCAGACAUCCGCCUGACCAUAUGCGUAUGAUCAGUAACUUUACAGAUCCGGCACACAUCCGCCUGACCAUAUGCGUAUGAUCAGUAACUUACCAGAUCCGGCACACAUCCGCCUGACCAUAUGCGUAUGAACAGUAACUUACCAGAUCCGGUACACAUCCGCCUGACCAUAUGCGUAUGAUCAGUAACUUACCAGAUCCGGCACACAUUCACCUGACCAUAUGCGUAUGAUCAGUAACGCCUCAUGAUCAGUCCUUAACGCCUCAGGGUGUCCCGUGGUCUGCCGGGUGGCCUCAGGGCGUCCCGUGGUCUGCCAGGUGGCCUCACUGUUGGGCUCCCCCUUUCCCAUGUAUUGCUGCUUCUCUCUAGAUUUCUGUCAAAGGCCUUUUUCACAGCAUUCAUUACCUUUCCCAGGCUGGGCCAUAGGAUGGCCCAUCGAGAUUAAUAAAGCGUAAAAUGCUAGACCACCCACACACCUACCCUCCCCCCCAAUCUGUCUGUUCCCCUGCUGUGUAUCAUAGGAGAGGGAAUAGAAGCAUAGUGUUGGGAAGACACAUAGCUAAGUAUCAUAGUGCAGGCAUCUAGAAGUAUAGAGCAGGCACGUAGCUAUGUCACAGGGCAGGAAUCUAAAAGCAUAGCGUAACUCAGGCACAUAGCUAUGUCAUAGAACAGGGAUCUAGAAGCAUAAUGUAUGAUAGGCACAUAGCUAUGUCAGAGGACAGGGAUCUAGAGGCAUAAGGCAGGGAUAUAGAACCAUAGUGUAGGACAGGCACAUAGCUACACUAUAUUGCAAAUAAAUUGGAACACCGCUGGGGACAAUUCAGGUGACAAUCCAGAACCACAAAGGCAGCUGUCAGAGCUGCAGUCCCCAUCCGCACAGACACCCCGGACCAAGCCUUGCUACCGGAACCGCGAGCACUUCGCCACUAUCCAGACCGCCUCCCUGGUAACGCGGCAGGAACAGGACUUUGAGCUGCGAGAGCAGAUGUCGGCAGGGACGGAUUAUGGGUUGUGUGGCCCCUGGGCAAAACGUUCGCGAGGGCCCCCCCCCCACCACCACCACCAGCACCACCACCACAACCACCACAAUUCAAGGGCCCUUGGAAUGUAGGCCCUCUAAAAUAGACAAACGUAAAUACAUUGUUGAUAAGCGUUGCAAAUUGUUUUGGGCUAGGGGCCCCAUGGGCCCCCUGCACCCCAAGGGCCCCUGGGCAGCGGCCCCGCUGGCCCAGUCCGUAAUCCAUCCCUGGAUGUCGGGAUACAAGUGCAUGUGGAGGCAGCACCAGAAGCAGCUGAUGGCGCUAGAGAACAAGCUGAGGGCCGAGAUGGACGAGCACCGGCUGAGGCUGGACAAGGAGCUGGAGGCCCAGAGGAGCAGCUUCUGCGGAGACAUCGAGAAGCUGCUGAAGAAGCAGCAGGCCUCCCUGGAGAAAGAUGUAACGUAGCCUCUCUUAUGUGCCACCAUCAUCAUCCUCAUCAUCGUCGUGAUCAGUCCCCCUAACCAUACCACCCCCCACACGGGCUAAGACGGUCGCUAAUGACGAGAGGAAGUACCAGCAGCAUAUUCAGAGCCAGCAGAAGAAGGAGCUCAGCAGCUUCCAGGAGCUACAGAAACGAGAGUAUAAGCUACGUAAGGAGCAGCUCAAAGAGAGAACUGGCUCAAGAGGUUUGCGUUCCGCUGGGGUGGUUUGGGGUCCCUCCUUCCACCAAAAGGGAGGCCAGCAUAGGUGAUGGGAAGACAGAUGGAUGCUAAGGCAGACUGGCUGAACUGUAGGCUCUGAAGCAGGAGACACAGAUGGGUGACACGUCAGUGGGGACAUGAGAGGGUUAUCUGGAAAAUUAGGCUGGAAUAGCUGAGGUCUGAGAAAUGUGUUACAGUAAGAGGCAAACAGCACCUUUUAUACAGAAUAAAAAUGGCCAUCACCAGCGGGAAGCUCAACAAGUGUAUCGAGUCAUCUAUCAUGCAUGUGAUUUAUUAUGUAUGUGCAUGAAUAUGUGUGUGUGUGUGUCAAUACUAGCAAAACACACCAAGAGCACGGUACAGGGAACAAAAUGUUUUUUUCAACAUGAAUAAUACUGGGAAUAAGGAUACGGAAAAUAUGAAUCUCUUCAGGAAGUACACAAGACCUUUUUAAAAAAAGGCACUGACUUUCUGAUUAUCAGAAUUGUUAAAGUAUCGUCUUGGCAAAGUGACGAAUGCGAGACUCGGCGGCAGAAGCAGACUUUGAAUUCCAGAAGUCUGAGCGGACUUUCCAUUCUUUCACUGCAGACGUCUUUCCAUCGCGUUUUUUCGGGGAGUAGUGGAAAACUCAACCUGACACCAGUGACAGAAAAAAAAGCCCAAGUGACCUCUGUGACAUUUUCCAGUGGUCCUGAUGUCAGCCAGGAGUCGUGGCCAAUUUGUCUCGGCGACAGACCACUUUAAGGCUCCGUUUGAUUUACAGGAACUGUGACCAGAAGAUCUUUUCUUAAGAAACUAUUGAGAAGGUUCUAGCUCCUGCCAAGUAUGAGCACAGUGCGGGGAUGAUGUGAGGUCGUCCACAAACUGCACCUCUGUCACCAGAGACGUUUUGCUCAUAAAUAACUCAUUUAAUUUCACUUACAGUUUACUCUCUCUGAUAGAUGUGACUAUGAUUAAGAGUUUUGAAAGGACAUUUCUUUGGUCUAGAAUUCCCUCAGACAAAUACACAAUAAACUCAAGCAAUAGAAAACGUUUUUCUCGUGAGAUUUUUUAAUUGUAUUAAUUCCAAAACAAUUAUCUCCUGUGC